rnacentral:rRNA from 1 species
GACAGAGGGUGCAAGCGUUGUUCGGAAUCAUUGGGCGUAAAGCGCGCGUAGGCGGCAACGUAAGUUGAAUGUGAAAACCCUGGGCUUAACCUAGGAAGUGCAUUCAAAACUGCGUCGCUAGAAUCCCGGAGAGGGUGGUAGAAUUCCCAGUGUAGAGGUGAAAUUCGUAGAUAUUGGGAGGAAUACCAGUGGCGAAGGCGACCACCUGGACGGAGAUUGACGCUGAGGUGCGAAAGCGUGGGUAGCAAACAGG